rnacentral:rRNA from 1 species
GCGACCUACGGGAGGCAGCAGUCGGGAAUAUUGCGCAAUGGAGGAAACUCUGACGCAGUGACGCCGCGUGCAGGAAGAAGGUUUUCGGAUUGUAAACUGCUUUAGACAGGGAAGAAAAAAGACAGUACCUGUAGAAUAAGCUCCGGCUAACUACGUGCCAGCAGCCGCGGUAAUACGUAGGGGGCAAGCGUUAUCCGGAUUUACUGGGUGUAAAGGGAGCGUAGACGGAAAGGCAAGUCAGAAGUGAAAGCCCAAGGCUCAACCAUGGGACUGCUUUUGAAACUGUCAAACUAGAGUACGGGAGG